rnacentral:lncRNA from 1 species
UAUAAUCAUUGAAAAAAAAAUUCGAAUUUUUAUUAUUAACAUAAAAGUUUUUAUCAUCAAAAGAAGAUUCUCUACUUUAAAAACAAAAAUUCUCGUCCUUACAUUUUCUUUUCUUUUUAAUCAUAAAAACAUUCCCUCUUUCAUAUCGAUUAUUGAUCCUACUUCUCUUUAUAUUUAUUUAUUUUACUUUAUCUUCUCCCACCGCAAGAAUUCUUAAUAUUACCACCUUUUUAUUUCUCCGUGGAUUUUGUCGUCAAGCGAAAGACCAAUUCUUAGGGAGUAGUAUUCGCCAAGCAAUCGUACAAACCGGUCGUGCUCGACGUGACAAGUUAGCCUAAGGCAAGAUCUAUUGAAAAUAUAACAAUAGAAGGUAUCUUUUGGCAAGCUACCAGUAAAGAGAAAGUGGACUUUCUUCAGAGUCGUACCAAGAGAAAGCAAUUUUGUAUAAAUUCAUCAAUUUUAUUCAUAGAAAGAAAUAUCAAAGAAUCGAAAAUAUUGAUUAAAAUAUUUCAGCGCACGAAUAAAGUAUAAGGACUCAUUUGAAAUCGUUCGAAAGUAGUUUUGAAACGAUUUCAUUUAGAUAAUCGGUAUCGAAGGAGAAUAAAUGAAUUUGAAAAAAAAAUAGGAGAAGAGAAAGUAAGUAAGCAAAAGCAAUCGUCUCUGUUGAAUACUGUACGUUAGCUAAUCGUAUGACCCUGUCCCGUUAGGCAGUGGUGUUCAGUGAAGUUCACGGCCAAAAACACACGGGGUCGCUGAGUUCUGUAGUUGCUGAAUCCAAGCGAUAACGUCCUAAGUUCUAUAUAUAAACUGCAUAUACCUCUCUCUUCUUCUUCUUCUAUCUUUCUUUCUCAUUCUAUCACUCACUUGGACUAUCCUCAGUAUACCAUCGCAAUGUAACGCAGAAACGAUAUAAGUCACUCGGCCGAGUGGCACCGGUAGUCGCGUGUAGUUAAAACGAUCUUAAACGACUUUGGGACGUGACGCGAUAAACGAAGAAAACGAGAGACAGAGACAGAAGUAGAGAACUGAUUGAGAUGUUCCGUGGAGGAGAUCAAGAAGAAAGAUAAAUACGUAGUGGUCUGAGUUUCGUUCACAUCGAAAGUCAGCUAGCUGGAUAUCUUCUUAUAGUCUUUCAAAAGAAACUCAAAAUAACAUUUUCUAAGUGGAAAAUUAAGGUUUCCUGUUAAUAUUUACUAGCGAGAUUGAAGAAACAAAGAUGGACAACAUAAAAGUACCACCAAGUUUUAUAAAGAACAACAACAACAAUAAUAA